UUCAACUGAAGAGUUUGAUCAUGGCUCAGAUUGAACGCUGGCGGCAGGCCUAACACAUGCAAGUCGAGCGGAAACGAUCCUAGCUUGCU
rnacentral:rRNA from 1 species